rnacentral:rRNA from 1 species
UGCGUAGGCGGGUCUUUAAGUCAGGGGUGAAAUCCUGGAGCUCAACUCCAGAACUGCCUUUGAUACUGAAGAUCUUGAGUUCGGGAGAGGUGAGUGGAACUGCGAGUGUAGAGGUGAAAUCCGUAGAUAUUCGCAAGAACACCAGUGGCGAAGGCGGCUCACUGGCCCGAUACUGACGCUGAGGCACGAAAGCGUGGGAGCAAACA